UGGGGAAUAUUGGACAAUGGGCGCAAGCCUGAUCCGGCAAUGCCGCGUGUGUGAAGAAGGCCUUCGGGUUGUAAAGCACUUUUAUCAGGAGCGAAACGCUGUCGGCUAAUACCCGGCGGAACUGACGGUACCUGAGGAAUAAGCACCGGCUAACUUCGUGCCAGCAGCCGCGGUAAUACGAAGGGUGCAAGCGUUAAUCGGAAUUACUGGGCGUAAAGCGUGCGUAGGCGGUUUCUUAAGUCUGCUGUGAAAUCCCCGGGCUCAACCUGGGAAUGGCAGUGGAUACUGGGAGGCUAGAGUGUGUCAGAGGGUGGUGGAAUUCCCGGUGUAGCGGUGAAAUGCGUAGAGAUCGGGAGGAACAUCAGUGGCGAAGGCGGCCACCUGGGACAACACUGACGCUGAGGCACGAAAGCGUGGGGAGCAAACAGGAUUAGAUACCCUGGUAGUCCACGCCCUAAAGCGAUGCGAACUGGAUGUUGGUCUCAACUCGGAGAUCAGUGUCGAAGCUAACGCGUUAAGUUCGCCGCCUGGGGAGUACGGUUUUCGCAAGACUGAAACUCAAAUGAAUUGAC
rnacentral:rRNA from 1 species